rnacentral:lncRNA from 1 species
GAGCAGCUUGCUGGGUCUCCGGAGGCUGCUGGUGUCUGUCUCAAGGUGCGGUGCAGGCACAGCCAGUGGGAUUUUUUUCCCAGCAGAGCAGAGAGCUGGCCCUCCACUCCUGCUCCUGUGCGGAGCUCACUCCCAUAGGGCAGCCGCCUCUGGCCCAGGAGGAGGGUCCCCCAGGACCCCCUGCCUAGCUUGACGGCUGCUCAGACAAGCACCACCAGACCAGCAUCACCCAGGACGUCUGCCCUCCCUGCAGCCACCGUUAGCCCGGGCGAGGACCCCUCCAGGAUGCAGGUCCCGAACAGCACCGGCCCGGACAACGCGACGCUGCAGAUGCUGCGGAACCCGGCGAUCGCGGUGGCCCUGCCCGUGGUGUACUCGCUGGUGGCGGCGGUCAGCAUCCCGGGCAA